GAUGAACGCUGGCGGCGUGCCUAAUACAUGCAAGUCGAACGGUAACAGGUCUUCGGACGCUGACGAGUGGCGAACGGGUGAGUAAUACAUCGGAACGUGCCCAGUCGUGGGGGAUAACUACUCGAAAGAGUAGCUAAUACCGCAUACGAUCUGAGGAUGAAAGCGGGGGACCUUCGGGCCUCGCGCGAUGGGAGCGGCCGAUGGCAGAUUAGGUAGUUGGUGGGAUAAAAGCUUACCAAGCCGACGAUCUGUAGCUGGUCUGAGAGGACGACCAGCCACACUGGGACUGAGACACGGCCCAGACUCCUACGGGAGGCAGCAGUGGGGAAUUUUGGACAAUGGGCGAAAGCCUGAUCCAGCAAUGCCGCGUGCAGGAUGAAGGCCUUCGGGUUGUAAACUGCUUUUGUACGGAACGAAAAAGCUCCUUCUAAUACAGGGGGCCCAUGACGGUACCGUAAGAAUAAGCACCGGCUAACUACGUGCCAGCAGCCGCGGUAAUAC
rnacentral:rRNA from 1 species